CAAUCAGAAAGGGCUUCAUUUUUGGGAGUUUUUAAGAUGUGUUCUCUUCCUACUUUUUCCUUCCAGAAAUUGCAUACAUCUCCAGACUAAGUUCCCUGACAGCAUGCAAACUUUUUAAAUGAACUGAAUGAGUUGAAUGGCCUGCAAUACCUUUGUUUAAAUCUGACUUAUAGCUGUGGGAUAUAGCCAGAUAUUUCUCAAAAUACAGUCUUUUCUCAUAGUCAUCAUAGAUCUUCCAAAUGGUUUAAAUUCACAUCACAGGACAAUGUUUACUUUCAGUACUAAGCAGCUCCCUUUAUCUUCCAGAUAGAUAUCCACUCUUAGGAUUUUAUUUGACCUGAAGACUACUUCUAAAAGGGAUUCUUCCAUGUUAAGCUUCAGGAAUCCAUACAGAUACAUUUUUGUGAAGGACAAAAUAUUUGGAGAUGAAGAAAGAACUCAA
rnacentral:lncRNA from 1 species